UCUCAUGCUCACGUUCCCAUCGCCCCCAAGCUAUAAUGAGGAUUCUCAUAGAGUUGAUGGGCAGAUUGGGGAAAUGAUGAUUUCAUGAGAAACAACAAAGAAGGUCUGUUAGCGAAGCUCAGAGAUAUGAGUUGGCCUGAGAAUGCUAAAUGGGUGGACAAGCUUACGUCGGAUAUUGAGCAAGAGCAACCGGUGGAUGUGCAUGAUGGCCUGACAAGGGAGCUUUCAUUUUAUGCACAGGCUCUAACUCGAAUGAGGAUGGCCUUUGAGAAGCUUCAGUUAAUGGGGCUUCCAUUUCUGAGACCUGAGGACUACUACGCAGAAAUGGUGAAGUCCGAGUCCCAACUGGGGAAAGUGAAGUCCCAAUUUUUGAUGCUUAAUAGACAAGUGGUGAAAUCUGAGUUUCCUACUAUUAAGGUGCUUGGAAUGGAUCUUGAAUUAGUGACGGCAAUUCUUUAUACAUAUGUGCUCUUCCAUCUUGCGUUUUGCCAAGUGACAGUUUUCUGUUAAAUUGAGAUUGGCAAAAUGAAAAGAAACUGCUUUUCUGUGUAUUCAUGUCCGAAUGUAACUUGGAAGCUCUUUUAUUUGAGAAAGCUAAUUAACCGUUAAAAGUGGAGACAAUAAUAGUUCUUUCUUGCAUCUUUGGUUCUCGGAUUUUGCCUGUCAAUUUCAUCAAGUGCAAGACGCCCUUAAGUACAAGGUGAGGCUGCAGUUUGUUCUUGGCUGAAGAGAACUAAGAAGGUUCCGAAGAGGAGUGCAAAAUCAAAUCAGAAAUAUGAGAAUAACAAAGACGACGAAGAGGAUCAAGAAGAAGCCGAUGAAGAUGAGAAGGAAGAGAAUGAUGCCCAGGACUAAUAUGUGAUUUGCAUUUUGAUUGGGUCCAGUUUGUGACGAGAAGAUUGGGUUUAAAACAAGUGGAACAGAUAGAGGUUUUGGGCGGUUGGUUGGGCUGAUUGGGGAAAACGGUGGAGCUGCAGACGCCAAAAAUCUACGGGUGAAGUUACUGUGGGUGUGGAAAAGUGCAAACUUGAAGAUUAUAGGAUGACAUUUUAUCUUUCUUGGUGUGGGAAGAGGUGGGAAUAGAGAAUUUCAGACUAAAUCUCCUCCAAAAGAUAGUCUGUGACUGUCAGCGUGCUGUUUUGGUCCUCCUUGGCCGAGCCUAGGUCCAGUCCUUCCACUUCUAUGUACCCGACUCUCGAGUGGGUGAUCGUGUUUUAGCUGAGAAGGUUUCAUAUCUCCUUAGAAAGCCUGAGGUUUCAUAUAUAGUGAUUUUCAAGGCACCUCCAAUCUUGCAGGAAAUUGGCUUUAGCUCGGGCGAUGUAUUUAUAAAAAGAAUUGUAGCCAGGGGUGGAGAUUAUGUUGAGGUACAUGAUGGGAAAUUGUUGGUGAAUGGUGAAAUUGAAAAUGAAGACAAUUUUUGCUUAGCCUGUGUUUGGCAAAUGCACCCGCAAAGUAGAGAUGUAAUGUGUUUAAUGUCUGUAAAUGUAGUAUUAAUCGUAUUGAUAAUACACCCGCAGAGUAACCACAUUGAAAUAGAACUCUAAAGAAAAUCGACAUAUGGUUAUCAUGAUUGCUGACAGAGUAAGACAAGCUCUUCUUUAGAGAAAUUGCAUUCGAAGAACCAACAAGCUAUAGC